UGCCCCAUGGCUAAGUUGGUCAAAGCGUCCGACUGUUACAGCAUUGGUUGCCUCGGCACCUACUGGCAUCGGAAGGUCCUGAGUUCGAGCCUCAGUGGGGCAG
rfam:Plicaturopsis crispa FD-325 SS-3 unplaced genomic scaffold PLICRscaffold_13, whole genome shotgun sequence.